CUUUUAAAAAACAAAACUGGCUGAUUUUCAAUCAUUCUUAAUUAGUGAGAUAUAGUUGGUAUGAAAAGCUGUUGGAAACGUGAUGAAAGAGAUAGUUAGCGAACCUUCAGGAAAGGGAGCAGCAAUCAAGUGAGUCAGCAUGGUUGCAGCAAAAAGAAGUCACGGCAGGCAGACUUACCAUAUUUCCUUUUUGGUUUUUACUGGACCAGGACUAACCGGAAGGACCAGGAGAUUCUUGUACUUGAGGUAACACAAAGCCGGCAGGAAAAUCAGUACUUUGGCAGGAGCCAAAAAACUUCAGGAGGCCAAGAAACUGGACCGAAUCUAAGGGCAUUAAAUUUAGACGAGUGACUGUGAGAGUGAGCUGGCUGUACAUCAGCUCCUGUGAUCUUGGACUGUAGCACAUGAGCUUCCAGGAACUGGGAAGGGGAGAAUCUCUGAUCUCUGCCCUGGGCAGACCUUGGUGCAGGGAACUUGGUUCAGUUCCAGGUGCUGUGGUUUAGAAGAACAUUAAAAACUGAAGUUACCCAGAGAAAGCCUUUCAGCGUGAAGGGUCUGCUCAGGAGGACUGGUCCAGGGAAGCAGAGGAGAAAGUUCUGGGGAGAGCAAUGGCGGCUGCCUUCCUUGGGAAGUAGGACUGGCCCCUUCCUGUGGGGUUCACUGAGCUGGGGAGCAGGGACGGGGGUCCGGCAGGCUGAUGCCUGCACUUAUGGGGGGGCUUUGAUUCCUUCCUUAGCAUGUCAGCACCCCGGGGGUUGGGACGCCUGGUUCUCUGGUUCUUCUGGUCCAGCAUAUGCCAAGCACCUAAGCAGAGCUUUGUGAUUGAUGUUGUUCAGCCCCCUCCCUCUGUGGAGGGUGGAGCUGUUCUUCCCCUGGGGUUUGACUUUCUGUUUCCUCAGCUCUUCUAGCAGUGGGAUCGCUCCUUUUGGGGUGGGGGAUGGCAAGGGAUCCCCUCCGGAAAUCUCGCCUGUGCAGGGUGCCCACUGGACUGGGAGCUUCCGGAGGGCAGGGCUGGGGCUUUGUCCGCCCGGGUGUGCCAGUGCCCAGACUUGCACAGAGUGAGCCCACAGCGACAAAUCCUCGUCACCCGCUGCCCUCUGCAGUCUUCUCUCCCUCGGAUUGAGGGGUGCAGAGUCGCUUUCCUGAAUCCCCCCCUUUCUUUCAUGGUCAAUCUCCUAGAAAACCCCCAGAUCAGACACUCAUCAUCUUCAUUAUGUGGAGCCCAAUCCGCCGUCCAUCCACCCCCCCUGCCACCAUCCACCCCCGGCCUGCCCCACCCUCCUUCCCGCCGCCGUCCAUCCACCGCUGGCCCAAGCUGCGUCUCGGUGCCCUGGCUCUCAGGAUGCCCCAUCCGCGGGCACAUCCCGGUCUGCACAAUGGAGACACGAAUGGACGGACAACCCACUGGGCAUAUCCUGUGUAGGCAGUGGGUGAUGGCGGCUCUCUCCGCAGCAAGGAUCUGUGCAAGGGGGACAUUUCCACCCCCACCCCCUGAACAUCAGGAGCCCUUUACAGAAGCUAAGGAAGAUGAGAACAAAUUGUUUAAUUUUACAGCUCAUAAUAAAGAGCAUGAAAUUUUGCUUAAAUGGGGAGCUGAGCUAAGCGGCAAAGGGACCCCCCAGCUUCCUGUCAAUGAACCAAGCCCCUGCAGGCCUGAUUGAUGAGGGGGAAGAGCAAGACUUCUCACUGAGGGGCAGCCAGCUGGCACAGGGGGUAGAGCACAGGCUCUGGAGCCAGGAGGACCUGAGUGCAAAUCACUUAAACAUUUGCUAGCAAUGUUUUUGCUUUAACCCCGAUUACUUCUGGGAGAGAGACAGACAGACAGAGAAACAGACAGCGCUUGUUGAACCCAGAUCCAGGAGAGGAGGAGAUCAUCAACUGUUCCUUCUUUUCCCCUUCAUGCUUGGAAACAUACCCAAAGGAGACCGGCACUUUCUCCCCGUAGCUGACAAGUCUACUGUCCUGUGCAAGGCUAAAAUAAAUGGCUCAAAACACAAGGAAGCAGCUUUGGGAACAAAAAGCGCAAUGUUUGACACAAACUUCUGGGAAAAUUGGAAAGCGGUGUGACAGAAACUAGGUAUGGACCAUGAUCUCACGCCAUCUACCAAGAUAAGGUCCAAAUGACUUACACAUAAAAGGUCGGGCCAUAAGCCAGUUAGAGAGCGCUGCAUAGCUUGUCUGUCAGAUUUAUGAGUGAGGGGAGAGUGCAGGACCAAAGGUGAGAGGGGAUUAGAAUGUGUGAAACAGACCAUUUUAGUUAAAUGAACAAACAAAACCAAUACAACCAAAAUUACAAGGAAAGCAGAAAACUGGGGGAGAGGGGAAUUGCAACAAUUCUCUGAUGAAGGCCUCAUUUCCCAGAUAUAGAGAGAGCCGAGUCAGAUUUGUAAAGGUACAAGUUAGGCCCCAAGUGAGAGAAGAUAUGAAGAGGUGGUUUCUGGAAGAAGAAAUGAAAGCUACCUAUGGGCACAUGAACAAUGGAGUCUGUUUCACUGCAGAUUAGAGAAAGGCAGAUUAAAAAGCCCCGAGGUGUACCCCCCCCCCCCCAGUGGCUGAUGGCAGGAAAAGGGAAAUUUUGGAGAGCUGGGACACUGAUUUACUGUGGGUGCAGGGGGAUGAGAGACUUGGACCUGACAAUUUCUAACCAUCCUUUCAGCUCCCGAGUCCAAGUUCUGUCUCUUGGCUCCCUCCUUUACUAAGAGCAUGCCCACAGUGGGGACACCUCUGGUGUCCUUAGAUCUCCUUGGGAGACCCCACUCUGCCCCAGCUUCUGAUUCCAGCACAUAGUAGGUGCUUUGCUGAUACUUCACACAGCUGCACAUGUAGAACAUAAAUUGCUGACUGUGUUGGGGGAAGAACAAUUUAAUGAAUGUUAAGAUUGUCAUUACAUGUAAUUGAAA